GAUGAACGCUGGCGGCGUGCUUAACACAUGCAAGUCGAACGGAGUGCCCAUGACGGAGUUUUCGGACAACUGAUUGGGUUACCUAGCGGCGGACGGGUGAGUAACGCGUGAGCAACCUGCCUAUCACUGGGGAAUAACGCAUCGAAAGGUGUGCUAAUACCGCAUGAGACCACGACGGGGCAUCCUGAUGAGGUCAAAGAUUAAUCGGUGAUAGAUGGGCUCGCGUCUGAUUAGCUAGUUGGUGAGGUAACGGCCCACCAAGGCGACGAUCAGUAGCCGACCUGAGAGGGUGAUCGGCCACAUUGGAACUGAGAAACGGUCCAA
rnacentral:rRNA from 1 species